AGGGAGAAUACGCCCUUAUUAUAGUUGAUUAAGGUACAACUUAAUCAACAAAGGAAACAACCUACACAAAUGAGCAAAGAUAUAUACUGCUAGGAACACAACUCAGUAGGCCUAAAAGCAGCCACCAUACAACAGCGUUAAAGCUUAACUACCUUUCUUUCCCCGCUUAUUUACAUAAAAUAUCUAAACUCAAUAAAAUAAUCAAGUCAAUCUAUAUAUAGAUAGGUUAUUACUAAAAUAAGUAACAUGAAAAUAUUCUCAUAAUACAUGUGUAAAUCAGAAUAGACCACCUACUGAUAAUUAAUAAACAUAUUUAUAACACAAGAAUUUAAAUAUAUUUAAACGUUAACCCAACACAGGAGUAUAUGUGAAGACUUAAAAUUUAGAAAGGAACUCGGCAAACCAAGACCCCGCCUGUUUACCAAAAACAUCGCCUUUUGAAAUUCAAACAUGAAAGGUCUCGCCUGCCCAGUGACAUAUUCAACGGCCGCGGUAUUAUGACCGUGCAAAGGUAGCGUAAUCACUUGUUUCUUAAAUAGAGACCGGUAUGAACGGCGAAACGAGGGCCUGACUGUCUCACUAAAUUAGUCAGUGAAAUUGAUUUUCCCGUGCAGAAGCGGGAAUAAUAGUAUAAGACGAGAAGACCCUGUGGAGCUUUAGACCUAAGCUAACAUAUACACAUAGCAGCCUGUUUUAGGUUGGGGCGACCAAGAGGUAAAAUGAACCCUCGAGACUACAAGCAAGAAGGACACUUCCAACAAUAAUAUAAUUAACUUUUGACCCAAUAAUUUUGAUCAACGAACCAAGUUACCCCAGGGAUAACAGCGCAAUCCUCUCAUAGAGCCCAUAUCGACGAGCGGGUUUACGAC
rnacentral:rRNA from 1 species